CCUACGGGGGGCAGCAGUGGGGAAUAUUGGACAAUGGGCGAAAGCCUGAUCCAGCCAUGCCGCGUGUGUGAAGAAGGCCUUCGGGUUGUAAAGCACUUUCAGUGGGGAAGAAAGCCUUGGGGCUAAUACCCUCGAGGAAGGACAUCACCCACAGAAUAAGCACCGGCUAACUCCGUGCCAGCAGCCGCGGUAAUACGGAGGGUGCGAGCGUUAAUCGGAAUUACUGGGCGUAAAGCGCGCGUAGGCGGUCUGAUAAGCCGGUUGUGAAAGCCCCGGGCUCAACCUGGGAACGGCAUCCGGAACUGUCAGGCUAGAGUGCAGGAGAGGAAGGUAGAAUUCCCGGUGUAGCGGUGAAAUGCGUAGAGAUCGGGAGGAAUACCAGUGGCGAAGGCGGCCUUCUGGACUGACACUGACGCUGAGGUGCGAAAGCGUGGGUAGCAAACAGGAUUAGAUACCCGGGUAGUC
rnacentral:rRNA from 1 species